AGGGGCAACAAGCAUCUCUCUACCACCCUCUCCUGCGCCCCAAAGAACGGCUGCUAUUAUGAGGCUGGCCCCAAAAAGGACUGUCAUAUGAACCUGAGGGGGUCACAGAAACCAAACAAAGGACUCUACUGUUUAGCCAAAGGAUACCACAAGAGGUGCAAGACUCAAUGAACAGGGCCAGAGACCAGCUGUGCAUGGCCAGCCUCUGCUUUAGGCCCAAGAAGGAAAGAAAUUCACAGGAGAUAGUCAAUCUCAGACUCUUCCUCAGUUACCAGCAGGAGGAUUCUAGAGGGUCACAGGCCAUAUUGGAGUAGGACAUCCACACGUCCUGACCUCAUUUACCUUGAAUUACCUGCUUAAAAGCCACAUCUCCAAAUAUAGUCACUCUGGGGGUUAAGGCUUCAGCACAUGCAUUUUGAAGGGGUUCCUGGGAGCUUUUCUGGUGCUGGCAUUGACUGGUUCCACCAGUCAGUGAGGAAGGGAUCCUACCUACCUCAGCACCCGGACCAACUUCAUUGAAGAGACAGAUCAAGUGGCGAUGGAGUCUGGCUUCCUCAUGCACAGACAAGUAUGGAGCUUAUUUUGGAACUGAUUCCCUUCCAACAUAGAUUAUCACAGAAUAUUGGGUAGAGUUCUCUGUGCUAUCUUUUCCAGCAGCAGGAAAGUUGGGCUCACCCACCUGAAAAGCUAAAGCUGACCCAGAAGUUAUGCUUAAAGAAGAAAAAGAAGGAAGAGCUGCUUUUGAUGUAACUUGAAGAGUAUAAAGGAUCGAAUGAUAAAAGCCACUGCCCUGAACUUUUCCAAAGUGUAAUAAAUCUCUCUGCAUAAGAUUCUGCAGUUGUUGCCAAGAUCCCGAAUUGGGAGCCAUGUGGAAAGAGGACUGGAUUGGAAAUCAGAGUCCUUCCUGGGUUUCUUCCAGAUGACCCCACCCAUCAGCCAUCUGGUCUCUGAGAAAUAGAACAGAGAUUCCACAUGUUUCCUGGAAUUGACCAAAAAAAAAAAAAAAAAAGGAAAGAAAAAAAUUUCAGUUAAAUGCCCUCAAUGCCCAUCAUAAGAAGGGGUCACCCUAAAAGAAUAAUUGAUUUGCAGUUCUGGUGUGGUAGGGACAUCUUGUCUCUUCUCUACUUGGCAUGAGGUGGAAUACUGGAAGGCUGAAAAGUGGAAUUGUCUGAAGUGCACUCACUCAUACCUCUGGUGGUUGACUGUUGGCUGGGAUGAACAUGGAGCUGUGUCUGGAACACCUAUAUGUGGCCAUUUCAUGAAGCUGCCCCACAAUAUGGUGGCUGGGUUCCAAAGCCUCCCAGCACUCCUUGAGAGAAGCAACCUGAUCAAUCUCAUUCAACUAGUCUCCUCAGUGUCUGGAACUACCAAAAAAAAAAAAAAAGGCACUCAAUGCCUAUACAUUGAAUGAAUGGGUUAACAGAUGGGUGGAAGACACCUUAGAAUCCAUCUAGUCCAACUUCUUCAUUUUUAGAGGUGAGAAAACCAUAGAUUAUAUCAGCUUGCCAAAGAUGAUAUAGUUAUAAGGCUAUUUGGCCUGUUGUUUUCAAUUUGUUCAUUGUUAUUGUGACCUCAACUACCUCCCAAAGCAACUGUCUAAUUAUACUCUUGGGUCCAGCAAUUUCAUCAGUUCAUGUUCUCACCCUAGGGUCCUGCCUUGUCAGUACUGUCCACCCAAGGGUGCUAUGGAGAGAAGCCAACUAUAUACAUUUUUUUUGUGUCAAUUACCAUUCACACUGGUCAUAUUUUUCCUAGGACAGUUAUAAGCUUUGUUUAUAAACUUAGAGAACUAACUUUUUAGCUCCUCUCCUGGUGACCCACUAUAAACUCACUUUUUACCAAAUCAGGUACUUGAUAGUGUUUAUGUAUAAUGUUAUGUAUGUAUAAAUCUACUUUGUUAUGCUAGUGACCCAGGUCACAUGGUAGUUAUGGGUUUUGUAGAAAGAGCUUUGCCUUGAGAAGUCUGCUUUUCAUCCAUUUCUGUUACUCAUAAGCUGUCCGAUCUAAGGCAAGUCCUUAAUAGUCUAAGCUUCAAUUUUGUAGUCUGUUCACUUUGCCAUGAGCAGGAAAAACAACAGCAGCAAAAGCCAAAAAUAAAACAACUUAAUCUCUUUUCUCUCUCUUCCCUUCCUUACUUGGAAUAAUAAAUAUGAAAAUUCACUUCACAGGAAUUAAAUAAACUCAUUAAUGAUACAGUUAGUUGGAUUAAAUGGACUCAUGAAUGUGAAGAUUCUGUUAAGUCCAAGAUG